UACGGGGAGUGCAAGCGUUGUUCGGAAUUAUUGGGCGUAAAGCGCGUGUAGGCGGUCCAACAAGUCUGGCGUGAAAGCCUCGGGCUCAACCUGAGAAGUGCGCUGGAAACUGUUGGACUUGAGUACCGGAGGGGAAGGUGGAAUUCUCGAGUGUAGAGGUGAAAUUCGUAGAUAUUCGGAAGAACAUCAGUGGCGAAGGCGGCCUUCUGGACGGAUACUGACGCUGAGACGCGAAAGCGUGGGGAGCAAA
rnacentral:rRNA from 1 species